UGGGAAAAGCUCAACUUUGUAAUCUGGUUGCCUUUGGCGAUCCGAGUUGUAGUCUAGAGAAGUGUUAUCCGCGCAGCCCCCUUAUAGAUUUCGGUUGGAAUGCCAAGUCAAAGAGGGUGAGAAUCCCGUAUUUGAUAAGGUGGGCUUGUGCAUUGUGAUACAUUUUCAAAGAGUCGAGUUGUUUGGGAAUGCAGCUCAAAGUGGGUGGUAAAUUCCAUCUAAAGCUAAAUAUUGGCGAGAGACCGAUAGCGAACAAGUACCGUGAGGGAAAGAUGAAAAGCACUUUGGAAAGAGAAUGAAAUAGUACAUGAAAUUGCUGAAAGGGAAACGAUUGAAGUUAGACUUGCGCGGUUGGUAUUCAACCUUGGCUUCGGCCUUGGUGCAUUUGCCAAUCAUUGCAGGCCAGCAUCAGUUUGCUUUGCUGUAAAAGGGUUGAAGGAAUGUGGCUUCUUCAAGAGUGUUAUAGCCUUCUUCUGGAUGCAGAAUCGCAGACUGAGGAACGCAGCGCGCCUUUUAUUGGCAACACGUUUACGUGUCGAGCGCUUAGGAUGCUGGUA
rnacentral:rRNA from 1 species